UCCGAUCAUCUCCUGUACGAUCUGAGACGUCCAACCCCUGGUCUGACCCGCCUCCCACAACGCAGGCCUACGCGUGCCCUGCCUCUCGCUACAGCCCCGCUGCUCUCCCCCUCGUGCCGUCUCCGCCCUCCCCUCGCGAUGCCGCAGCGGCGCAGCCAACGAGCCGAUCCGCGCCGCCGCCCUCGCGUCGUCCAGCCAUCCCCACCCCCUCUCGACACCCUCCCCUCGCGCGGCCACCGCCGUCCCCUCGCGCCACCCCCUUCCUGCUAUCCCUCCCAACCUCCGCGGGGCCAAGUUUUGGCGGCAUGAGCGCACGGCCAGCGGAUCACGACGGCCUACGGGGUCAGCAGCUGCGGUAGGAGGGCAAGGCCCGCGUGGAUCUUGGUGCCCUGCGCUCCCCGAGCCGUGGCCGCAGCCUCCCGUCCCCGUGCGAGCAUGCCGUGAAGGCCUUCAAGUCAAUGCGACCGGGCACGUGGAUCUCCCGCAAUGGACAACAAGCAAGCAACGACGGUCAGCUACUGCUGCUCCCGGCGGCUGACAUAUGCCGGUAGUGGCAGGGCCUCACCACCGCCGAGGCGAAGCGGCUGGUGCGCCUUGGCGGGCCAAUGGCCGCAAGCUAGAGAUAGCCGUGAUUUCAAUUUGGGCGUUCGAUUCAUCUCUGCUAAUAGCAUGAUUCCAAUCAUCACAUGAUGUACGAGUUUUUUUAGCUCAAUACUACAGCCGUUCUUAAAUAUAUGACACGUCAAUGACGAAAUAAAUACUGCUGCUGAUGGGAAGCUGCCCUCAUGGAGUCAUCAUAAUUGUAUCAUAAUUUGCUUCCAGUGGGAGUCUAUUGACUGAGGCAAUGUGCUCAGUUAGAGAUAGAGAGCAGCAACAUUACUGACGGAGGACACUCUUUGGGACAAGGUGAUACCCUCGUCGUGAUAUAGCAUGGUGCCGGUUUGUGUCGUGAGCACCACGUCAUAUCCGUUACGCCUGCAAAAGACUUUCAUGGACCCUGAGACCUGCACUUCUUUUCCCAGGUACCAAACUACCAGUCCUCUCUUAUACUCUGCAGCUAGAUUAUUCACAUGGACCCUAAGGUCACUUCCAUAUUUUUUAUUUUAUUGAUUUGCAUCUGUCACAUGUUGUCUCCAGUACUGUUGCAUUGGUGCUCAUCCUCACUAGAAGGUAAAACUGACCAAGUGAGCUUCAAUGCUAAUGCAUGUCAAACUGGAGGGGAUGGGUGAGAUUAUUUCCUUCUUUUAUUUCUCUCUUUAGCGCAUGCCCCAUGCUUUAAGGACUAAGGAAUGUCAUAGAACAUUUGUUGAUUGAGGGACUGAGGGGUGAUAGUUUCAGAAUAUCUAACCUGUGCAUAUGUUUGGUUCAAUUCCGAGCACGUUGCCAAGGCUGUCAUAUCCCAUUCCAUGCCAAGGUCAGUAGUAGUGUUUUUACAAGAGCUGAAUGAAUCAUCCUCUGAAGCCAUGACAUAACUUAAAUAUUGUGAGUGAACGAGAGAUUAACUUGUUCUUCUAAAUUAGGAAAGCUAUGAUCACAUUGAUAAUAUAGUGCUGUUUGCACAUGUUACUGUUCUAAAGAAGCACAGCUGUAUCUAUGAUAUCGAAUAAAAAAUUGCACUAUUCAUGUUAUUCUGAAUUAACAAAGCAAGCCAUGAUCACUUAGUGAUUUGUGCUUUCUGGUAGCGUUUUGUGACUUGUGAGCUAUGUCCAGUGUGAUAUUGUUCAGUUUCAGAGUUGAACAGAUUGAUUUCAUAUACAAUGUGUAUGCACAUUACUUUAAUUCAGAGUGCUAUCUAUUAAUUGCAAGGUGUACCGACGAAGUUAGCAGAGGAGCAGCCUGGAGCGAAUCGGCUUUAGCAGGAGCCCUCUAAUGUUAAGAUGAUUUCAUUUCUUUAUUGCUGAUUUGGGAGUGCAUGUAAAAAAUCUUUGGAAAGAGAUUUAGGUUAGUUUUCACACUCCACCUGUUGCAUAGAAAAUUUCAAGGUGAAGCGGAAAGUUGAAUAUUUUAAGGUUUUUUAUUUCUAAGCUGCUGCGAGCUAUGACUUUUUAGAGUUUUUUUUUUAACUUCAUAGAUGCCCUCUUUAUUCCUUUUAAAACAUUUUGUUAGACAUGGUUCUUUCUUGCUUGUAUAAUGACCAUAUCAUGUUAUUGCAUUGACGCUUGAUGACAUUUUUUCAUUUCAUUUUGA